rnacentral:lncRNA from 1 species
AUGAAAAGUCGUUGGAUGGGGAUAUUUCUUUUGAAAUAGAUGCUCAGCAUCAGUCUUCGGAUAGGGCAACAGAACUUGCAUCAAAUACUUCUUCAGAUUUUCAUCCUCUGCCAGAAGGUUCUCCACCAUUACCUCUUGAUUCUCCUCCUCCACCCCCACCCCUACCCUCUUCACCACCCCCACCUCCACCUCCAUCCUCUCCAUCGCCACCACCACUACCACCUCCACCACUUCCGUCAUUGCCACCACCUCCUCCUCUACCAUCUGCAUGCCCUCCACCACCUCCUCCACCACCAUUAAUUUCCCAACCGCCCGUGCCCAGUCAGCCUCCAUUGCCAAACCAGCAGAUAUUACCGCUUCAAUCUUCACA